CUAUAGAGUCAAGCAAAUAUUUAUUAUACAUACAAGAUCAUCAGAAUAUCAAAACAAUAAAUUAUGUGGACAAAUUGUUUGUGGUUACAGAAAACAAUGUAGAAGAAGAAAAUGGAUCUCACAACCAGACCUACCACUGAGCUCAGCUUCAUCUAGUAGAACAAGACUCAAAUCACAAAUGAAAUCACAUUGGUCAAUUUAAAUGGGACAAGCUAUGAAAUAGUUUCUUGUUUCAAACUGUAGCAACAAUUGAAACAAAAUUAGUCAAAUAUACAAAACCACUUCAUUGAACUAGAAAUAGAAUAAGUCCCAUCAUGCAUCUAGAAAUAGAACUCUCAAAGGACUUUAAAAAUGAGACACCCAAUGUCAGGACAGUUCUAGCAGUCUUCUAAUGUUGGUUAGAAAAGAAUUCACAUUUCCAUUUUGUGCACAUUAUAGACAACUGUCAAAAGGUCACUUAAAGUUUAACCAUUAGAUCAUUUCUUGAAUGCAUAGAUUGAAAUACACUCUCCCAAUUUUAGAACUACUCUAUUUAUUUUGUGCAUUUGAUCAAGUUCCAGGCCAUCAGGGUCUGACAAAAGAGAAGUGGAAAUAAGUGAUCGUUGAAUCUAUGAAUCCUAGUGGCUUCAAACAUUGACACAGUUAUGACUGCACAAUAUGAAAAUUUUAAGUUUGCUUCGAUGUUAAUUUUCGAACACAGUAUGUGUUGGUCCAUAAAUGUACAGAUAACAUUAGGAAAAAGGUCAUAAGCUAACCAUACAAGUAAAUGACCACCCCAAGUCUUAGUGCCUAGAUGUGGUCAAACCUGCAAAGGCCUCUUCAAUGCUCUAGAUAAAAUGUUUUAUCAUAAGUAGACUAUUACAUUGACUAUGUUUGUUGCUAUUAGCAUACAUCAACAUCACAUGCACACCAACCAUUGUUACAAGAUUUAGUAGAACAUAUUGAUAGAGAGGUUCAGGGAAAGUGUGGAUUAAAAACUGUUACCAGGGUAGCAUGGGGAAGGAAACAAUCUAAAAUCAAACUCAAGAAGCUCAAGUCUGAAGUAAUGUACAAUUCACAACAGGUGACAAUUCAGGCUUCUUGAUCCAAAAACAGUCAGCCAGAAGUCAGAGCACUCUCUAGCACUUAUUGUAGAGUUUAAAGAGUUGGCGAAAUUUAUGGAAUGUGCUGUCGAUGCAAUUCUUUUGUAUUUCUUUGACUUUGUGUCAAAUGCAAGUUAGGUUGAAAUUAAAAAAAAAAAAAAAAAAAAAA